rnacentral:rRNA from 1 species
UACAGAGGGUGCGAGCGUUAAUCGGAAUUACUGGGCGUAAAGCGUGCGUAGACGGUUAUUUAAGUCGGGUGUGAAAGCCCCGGGCUCAACCUGGGAAUUGCAUUCGAGACUGAAUAGCUAGGGUACGGUAGAGGGAAGUGGAAUUUCCGGUGUAGCGGUGAAAUUCGUAGAUAUUCGGAAGAACACCAGUGGCGAAGGCGGCUCACUGGACCGGCAUUGACGCUGAGGUGCGAAAGCGUGGGGAGCAAACAGG